GACGAACGCUGGCGGCGUGCCUAACACAUGCAAGUCAACUUGACUGAAGGAGCAAUCUGACAGUAGAGUGGCGCAAGGGUGCGUAACGCGUAAGUAACUUGCCCCAAGGUAAGGAAUAACGUCGAGAAAUCGGCGCUAAUACCUCAUAAUGCAGCGGAUCCGCAUGGAUAUGUUGUUAAACGGUUUACCGCCUUGGGAUAGGCUUGCGUCUGAUUAGCUAGUUGGUGUGGUAACGGCACACCAAGGCUACGAUCAGUAACUGGUCUGAGAGGAUGAUCAGUCACACUGGAACUGAGACACGGUCCAGACUCCUAC
rnacentral:rRNA from 1 species